AUUCUUCAUCCCCAUCAUUAAUUAUAUUGAGGACUGGGGUUGUACUCCUGCUGUUUAUUAUCUUCUGUUUUGUUUGUUUCUUGAGCCGCAGGAGCGAGUGAGGCCUAGUUGUGGUAGUGGGGUGUUGGGCGGGAGCUGAAAAAGGCAAGCUCAGUUUGGUGUGACCAGUGCUAAAAUGGGAGAGUCAUGGUUGCUACGCCAGAAAUUGACCCAUGGCAGACUGUUUUUACUUUCCAACUAGCCCUAACUUAAUCCAUGCUGACGCCUCAUCGGUUUAAAUUAUUUGGAUCCAUUCCAUCUCAGUUCUGUUGUGGUUUCGGGCUAGAGGAUAGCCUUGGUCACCCUGGUGAAUUUCCGCAAUCUGUAAUAUUAUAAGGGAAUAAUUUUUAAGACCUAGUGAUUGUGUGAAAUUUCAUAGACAGGGCUGUUUUUGUUCUUUCUACCAGGGGAAAAAUUGUGAUUAUAAGCAGUUUCGAAUAUAAAAUGAAUUAUACAACUGAGAUACAACACCUGUGAUGUCAUGAAAGCCAAAAUACUUCAUAUCUGAUUGAUCCCUUUCCAUUUUUUGUAGCUCUCAGGAGGACAGGAGUGAUUCAGGUGAUUCAGUGAUUGCUUUCAAGGUAAUUGCUUCAUUUGGUCCAUUGUAGUGAAGGCAAUAAUUUAUCUCCCUGAAAUAGAGAUGACAGCUUGGUUGGCCCUGGAAUAUGUUGUCCCAGACAGUAGAAAUAUUGAAAUAUCAGGAGUUGAAUUAUGAAACAUAUCAUCAUCCUUUUCAGGUGGACUCCCUUAUUCAGACCAUUUUGUACUCCUGGCACAAAAAAUGUAAGUUUCGUCCCAAGAAAAUGCUAAGGGCAUGCUCAAGAUGUCUCAUGCAAAAAAUUUUCAUUGGCAGAACAUUGGUCCACCUGGAUCCCAGUACUGCCUACACUGGCUGGCAGUAGCUCUUUGGGGUUUUAAGAAAAGAGUUUUUGUCCCAAGACUUUUGGAAUGUUGUAUUAUUUUACUGUUGUUAGCCGCCCUGAGCCUGGCUUCGGCUGGGGAGGGCGAGAUAUAAAUAAAAUUUAUUAUUAUUAUUUAUUAUUCUGAGUAAAUAAGUAUGGCAUACAUUUUCAUUGUGAACUAUUUUCAUUAUCUUUCAUCAUUACCUAUUACUAGAGCUUUCAUGUCGCCAGAACUUACAGAAAACUUGGGGGAAAGAAUUGGAGGAAAGAUCCACUGAUUUGUCACUGGAAUAAAACCUUGGGGAGAGGUGAAGAGAUAAGGCCCAAUCAAGUGUUUGAUGAAAUGCAGAAGGUUUCAAGCUGCAUCCAUGCUGCCUAGCACCUCAUCCCCAGGGGUGAAACAGGGCUUGGGAACGAGAUAGUGUCUUGCAACAUGCCCAGAAAUCUUCUUCUUCUUCUUCCUCAUCCUCUUUGGCGAUAACUUGUAGCCGACUAAGAUUGUCUUCCAUAAACAUGGUCUUAACGGUGAGUCCGUAAGUGACUGUGGAGGCCAAUUCUGGAUCCACACGUCCUUCCACACUGGGGACAUAGGUUUCUGGGCAGGAGUUGAUCACGGUGAGGGUUUGCCAAAUGUGCCUUUCUCUUAGCUUGUUUUUUCUUUCAUCCUGCGUUUGAGCGACUUCAAAGUCCAUGACACCUUUGGUAAAGGCUGUUCUCCAAAUGGAGUACUCACGACCAGUGUUUCCCACUUGUCAGUGUUUAGACUACUUUUUUUAAAAAUUUGCCUUGAGUCUUUAAACCUCUUUUGUUGACCACCAGCAUUACGCUUUCCAUUUUUAAGUUUGGAAUAGAGUAGUUGCUUUGGAAGUCAAUAAUCAUGCAUCCGAACAACAUCACCAGUUCAAUGAAGUUUAUGUUGAAGAAUCAUUGCUUCGACACUGGUGAUCUUCCUUCCUUCCAGUACACUGGCAUUGUUUGCCUGUCUUCCCAAGUGAUGUGUACAAUUUUUUGGAGACACCAUUGUUGGAGUCUUUCAAGCAGUUGGAGAUGGCUUUUGUAAGUGGUCCAUGUUUCACAAGCAUACAGUAAAGCUGGUAGUACAAUAGCUUUGUAAACAAGCAUUUUGGUUUCCCUAUGAAUGUUCCGGUCUUCAAACACUCUGCACUUCAAUCAGGAGAAAACUGCACUCUCAGAGCUCAGGUGAUGCUGGAUUUCGGCCUCAAUGUCAGCCCUUGUGGAAAGAUAACUGCCCAGGUAGGAGACGUGAUCAACACUUUCCAACAUUACACUACUGAGUUGGAGUUGUGGCACUGCAGAGAGGUUGUUUUGUGCUUGUUGGUGCAGCACUUGGGUUUUCUGGAUGUUGAGCAAUAGGCCAAGCUUUUCAUAAGCAUCUGCAAAUAUAUUUAGGAUGUUUUGGAGGUCAUCCUCUGAGUGUGCACACACUACAUUGUUAUCAGCAUACUUAAACUCUAUGACAGAAAUUAUGGUAACCUUAAUCUUUGUUUUCAGCCUACUCAGAUUAAAGAGCUUUCCAUCUGUUUGAUAUAUGAUUUCUACUCCAGUGGGGAGUUUCCCUUCAACAAAGUGUAGGAUCAUGGCAAUGAAAAUAAUAAAUAGAGUUGGGGCAAUAACACAACCCUGUUUAACACUUGAUCCCACCAUGAAUGGUUCACUUUGAGAGCCAUUGUUACCUGCGAUUGUUGCUGUCAUAUUAUCAUGGAGGAGCCAAAGGAUGUUCACUAAUUUAUUUGGGCAGCUUUCAGAAGGACAGUCCACAGGGCAUUAUGAUUUACAGUAUCAAAGGCCUUAGUCAGGUCAGUAAACACCAUAUACAGUGGUUGGUUUUGCUCUCUGCAUUUUUCUUGAAGCUAUCCAGUGGUGAAAGACAUGUCCACUGCCCCCUAGAAGGGACAACUGAAGGAAGAAAAAGGAGGCUACACAUUCUUCUGGAAAGGUCUCCCUGAAUAAGAACUUGGAAUACAUGGAGUAGGCCGUGCUAUCAAAAAAUGAUCUUGUGAAACUCUUGUCAGAAGUCCCUAUCGACCCAGACAUGCAAGGCACCACACACAGUAUUGGGACAGGAGCAGCUGUGUGGGGAGAGAGAAAGAGGGGAAAGGGGAGGAGGUGUGGGAACAAAUAAGGAGAAGGAAGGCACAGGCAGAAACCAUUCACACAUACUCAAGAAACUAUUUCAGUUAGAAGGGGGGAGAAAGCAAGUAAAGAAGGUGAGCACACAGAGAAAGGAGGUAGAGGCAAACAGCAGCCGCAACACGUGUGGAACUUGCACUGCCUAUGGCUCAGCACCAUAGAUGCGAGUCGCCAGGCUGUUCCUGCCCACAGGUCCUCCACCUCCACUGCUCAGGAAGCAUGUAGCCAUUGGGAAAGUGGUGGGUGGGGAAGCCUGAAAAGGAAGCUGGCAGAGGGGAAACAAGGAUCGCUGAAAGUCACUGAGCACGAGGGCAAAUCCAUCUCAGGGCUGGGUGCUGGAGUGACCACCUCUCCUCCAAACAAAAAAACCUGACACACGUUAUACCUACAAAGGAAUGCCCCUGUAGUUGGAUCUGACCAAAUGCUCAUCUAGUUCAGGAUCCUGAUCUGAUAGUGGACAGCCAGAUGCUCCAAUGCAGGGAUGGAGAACCUCAGACCCAGGAGACAAAUGUGGCCCCCCAGUCCUUCGAAUCUGGCCCUCAGAGCUAUCCCUAGGCCACACUCCAUCUCCUCAGUUCACACCCCUCUUUUUUAACCUUUUUUAAAAAAAUCCUUUAUUGCAAACAUGUAGAUACAUCCAUUAUACAUUAAUAAAAUGAAAAGAAAAAGAAAAUAAAAAAGGGAGGGGG